ensembl:rRNA 5S_rRNA 5S ribosomal RNA
GGCUACCACCACACCACCCUGAACGUGCCCAAUCUCGUCUGACCUUGGAAGCUAAGCAGGGUCAGGCCUGGCUCAUACUUGGAUGGGAGAGAGUGAGUGCCAGUAGCCU